GAUGAACGCUAGCGGCAGGCCUAACACAUGCAAGUCGAGGGAGAAGCCUUUCGGGGCAGAGACCGGCGCACGGGUGCGUAACGCGUAUGCAACCUACCUUUCACAGGGGGAUAGCCCGAAGAAAUUUGGAUUAAUACCCCAUAAUAUUGUUUGAUGGCAUCAUUGGACAAUUAAAACUGCGGUGGUGAAAGAUGGGCAUGCGUCCUAUUAGCUAGUUGGAGUGGUAACGGCACCCCAAGGCUACGAUAGGUAGGGGUCCUGAGAGGGAGAUCCCCCACACUGGUACUGAGACAGGGACCAGACUCCUACGGGAGGCAGCAGUGAGGAAUAUUGGUCAAUGGUCGGAAGACUGAACCAGCCAUGCCGCGUGCAGGAAGAAUGCCUUAUGGGUUGUAAACUGCUUUUAUAUGGGAAGAAUAAGGUGUACGUGUACAUUGAUGACG
rnacentral:rRNA from 1 species